AGACGGCCAUAGUAAUCAGGCCAUACCCGAUCCCAUUCCGAACUCGGAAGUCAAGCUGAUUA
rnacentral:rRNA from 1 species